ensembl:lncRNA
GUGUCUCUGUGUGUGUGUGUGUGUGUGUGUGUGGUUGUUUAGGGUGUGUGUGUGACUGUGUGAGUGUGUUUAUAUGCAUAUGUGUGUGGUUGUUUAGGGUGUGUGUGUGUGUGUCUCUCUCUCUCUCUGUGUAUGUGUGUGUGUAUGUGUGUGUAUGUGUGUGUGUGUGUGUGUUUAUAUGCAUAUGUGUGUGGUUGUUUAGGGUGUGUGUGUGACUGUGUGUGUGUGUGUUUAUAUGCAUAUGUGUGUGGUUGUUUAGGGUGUGUGUGUGACUGUGUGUGUGUGUGUGUUUAUAUGCAUAUGUGUGUGGUUGUUUAGGGUGUAUGUGUGACUGUGUGUGUGUGUGUAUGUAUAUGUAAUUGUGUGAGUGUUUUUGUCUGUGCGAGUGUGUUAAGUUGUGUGUGUGUGUGUGUGUGUGUAUGUAAUUGUGUGAGUGUUUUUGUCUGUGCAAGUGUGUUAAGUUGUGUUUGUGUGUGUGUGUGUGUGUAUGUAAUUGUGUAAGUGUUUUUGUCUGUGCGAGUGUGUUAAGUUGUGUUUUUGUGUGUGUGUGUGUGUGUAUGUAAUUGUGUGAGUGUUUUUGUCUGUGCGAGUGUGUUAAGUUAUGUUUGUGUGUGUGUAUGUAAUUGUGUGAGUGUUUUUGUCUGUGCGAGUGUUUGUGUUUGUGUGUGUGUGUGUGUAUAUAAUUGUGUGAGUGUUUUUGUCUGUGCGAGUGUGUUAAGUUGUGUUUGUGUGUGUGUGUGUGUAUGUAAUUGUGUGAGUGUUUUUGUCUGCGCAAGUGUGUUAAGUUGUGUUUGUGUGUUUGUGUGUGUAUGUAAUUGUGUGAGUGUUUUUGUCUGUGCGAGUUUGUGUGCGUGUGUUUGUGUGUGUAUGUAAUUGUGUGAGUGUUUUUGUCUGUGCGAGUGUGUUAAGUUGUGUUUGUGUGUGUGUGUGU